GGCUCCGGACGCGCUAACCCUGGCUAGCCCCGCGAGUGCCUCCCUCCCCGAGCUCCCUUGGCCGUCGACGCCGGCGGCGAUGGCAGCGCGCUCCGACGGGCCUCCCACGCGCGGGCGAGUGGCGUCAUGUGGGCGACGUGGUGGUCUCUCCGGUGUGGAGGUGGGCGAUGAGGUGCGUACAGGGAGGCGGAGCACGGCCGCGGGAGUUUGGAGGAGGUGCUGGUGUGCGGCGGUUCUCCGGAGAGCGCCCGGCGGUUGUCGGAGGGGGCGGCGCGCCCGGUCAUGGAGGCGGCGAAUCUCCGCCAGGUGGGCUGCACAAGCGGCGGUCGGGAGCUGCUGCAGUAGACGGGGCGUGCUCUGCCUCCUAUUGCUGCCGGAGUGGGUGCUGCAGGUGGAGUUGUGGAUGGAGAUGGUGUUGGAGCGGGUUGGAUCUGAGAUGGCGCUCGGACCAGCGGCCUUGAGCGGAGAGCUCCAUGUGGUGGCGUUGGUUGUUUUCUGUUCGUGGGUUUCAGGUGGCUAUGGUUUCAGGUGGCGAUGGGUUUCUGUGCGUGGCUGUCCAAAAGGAGUGGAGCGUUCAGCCAUUGCUUUGAGGCGCCGGCGCCCAUGGCCGUGUUGGUUUUGGAUGGUGGUUUGGAGCUGCUUUUCCUCUGGCCGUGCGGGAGGCGGAUGUUGGUCUGUGUGCCCAUGGCCGUGCAAGGCGCCGUUGUUCUGCAAUGUCAGGUUCACGAUGGCAAGGUGCUGCGGCGGCGGCGGUGCGAUCCUUUACAGAUGAGUGGCCACAAUUCUUCGCCAGGGAUAGGAGAUGGACGACGUUACGGAUGAAAAGCAUGCCCGUCUCCAGUCUAUUUUUGCUCCGGAUAAGUGAUUCUUCCGUCAUAACAUGACGAGGUUCUUUAGUUACACACCUGCAACUUAUUUUUUUUUCCUUUCUAUUUUUGCAGAUUUUGAAUUCAGUGCAGUAGAGAACACCUACAAAAUAAUCACAAGGAUUCAUGAACUCACUUUCGAAUGGCAGAAAUGUGAUGUUCAAUUGGCAUUAACCCGAUUGAUUUCUUGCCUGGGAAGGGGAGACCGAGGAGGAAAUGGCGACCAAGAGGAGCGUGGGCACCCUGGGCGACAAGGACCUCAGGGGGAAGAAGGUGUUCCUCCAUGCCGAUCUGAACGUUUUGCUGGACGACAACCAGAACAUCACCGACGACAAUGGCAUCCGCAACUCCAUGCCGUCCAUCAAUUUCCUCAUGGGGAAGGGUGCCAAGGUCAUCCUGGCCAACCAUCUGACUUAGGAUCGUAGGGAAAGUGUGGACUGUGGAUUCAUACCAGAACUGGAUUGGCGGCGUCAACAACAAUAUUCAAGAUUUCAUGUUUCGUUCAUUUUCAAGCAUCUCUCUUAAAAGGCAAUAUGUGCAGGUUCAUCAUUCAUGCGAGGGAUAUGAAAGAUGAAACAAAAGUAAAAGGUGUUUAUGCCUAUGGAGCAUCAUAAUUGUGAAGGAGUGUCGUGUUGAUUUUAUAAAUCCAGUAUCCUACUACUUGCAGUUUUUGUAGUUCAAUCAAAUAGUACAAUUUUCUAAUGAUAUUUGUUAUGGUUAGAUAUAAAAAAUUCAACAUUUCAAGGUU